ACGUGAGAGCUCAUCAGCUGAACUAGCUAGCUAGCUGCGCUGCAUGCUGCUGCUGCGCUAGCCGAAUAAACUCACGAAGGGCUUAAAAUUUGGUUUAAAAAAAUUAUGUAUUGAUUCAAUUACCCCUUAAGAAUUUUAAAAUAUUAAAAGCAAUGUAAUUUUAUUUUUUUAAACUUUACUGAUUUGUUGCAUCCAAUUGUCGAACUCAUCUAUCACUCUAAUUUUGUAUUUAGCCAAACGAGGAGCAAUUUAUUCAAAAUGUCUGCGCCCUACGGCUACGGGAAAGGCCCAGGACAGGGAAUGGCACCGCCCCCGGGAAUGGCAAAUUGUCACGUCUGUGAGAAGUCGUUCAAAGUUCUAAAACGCUGCAAAAGUUGUAAAUCGACAUUUUAUUGGUAUGAGGAAUAAUGAGGAUUGCGAAUUUUGGCCCGAAUUUUUAGCAUUAUGAGUUUAAUUUAAAGCUCUCCGCGCCGCGCGCGCCCAUGGGCUCUUCCUGUCCGGUGCGGCGCCUGAGCUCCGGCGUAGCUUAUCGCGGCACGAGGCACAGGCUAGGGGCCGGGGCAGCAGGGUGAAAUUCAUACGGUUACGCCACGGGACGAUCAACAAAGCACGGUGCACGAGCGGAUUGACCAAGCCGGAUAUCGACCGAGGGGGGUAUUCUGAAAAGUCUCGCACUGAUCUCCAGAGUUGGAUUUAAGCAGGGUGCGAAUUGAGGAGCAAAAAAAAAAUUCUAGAGAAUGUCAGAUUCGUGACUGGCCCACUCAUAAACUCCAUUGCUUGCCAAAAGACAGGAGCACCAAGAGAGCAGUUGAUCUCCACUCAAAAGCUGACGGGGACAGUAUUAAAAUUGAAACGGUGAAUUUCCAGACCCUGACACUCAAUGGGGAAACAACACCAAGCUCAAGGAAGGUGGAUGACAGUAGACUGUCCUCUAAAAUGGCUUAUGACUUGCCUGUGAAAGAACAGGAGAUUCAAGGAAGUGUUCUACAACCUGGGGAGCAGAGAGCAUCGGCAUGUUCAACAAGUACAGCAGGUGACAUCGGGGAUCUGGUGACAGUCACAGUAAAAACAAGCAAACAGAAGCACCAUGUGACUCUUGAUAGAAGCUCUACGGGGACAGACUUGUUGGCGGACAUUUCAAGAACCGUGUGUAUUCCAGUCCAGCAGAUGAAGUUGAUCCACAGGGGGAAAAUUAUGAAUCCAGAAAACAUACGAGAUACCCUCAAGGAAAAAGCCGUCUUUCAAGCCAUUGGAGAAGUUGCAGAAAAUGAGGAAGGGCUGAGCGGCAAGGACAUCACCUGUGUGAUGAGCCAGAUUAAAGUGGACCGCAACACGGCCAUCAAAGCUUUGAGACAAAAGGGAAAUGCCAUUGAUGCUAUUUUGUACCUUGGUAACAAAUAAGCCAGAAGAGAUUUUAUGAUAAACUUAGUUUGCAAUAAGGGGUCCAUUUCAUGUAGAGUUACUGCUAUGUUCACUUUGCCAUAAUGGCAACUCCCAUGACAACAGGGCUCAACAGCCAUUCACAAUCAACGUUUCCAUGGUAGAAUGUAAUGGAAAAGUUAAUAUACAUGAUGUAGUGGGAACUUUUGUAUGAAAGGGACCUGUGAUGUAAGAGAUUAUUGCCUUAAUUGCCUUGAGAGAAAACGCCUUGAUAUGUUGUAUAAUGAUUUUCAGUGACAGUGCUGUGAUUUUAUUUUUAAUCGUUAUCAGUAGUUAGUUAUCGGUCUGCUGUAACAUUUUUCUGGGACAUAUUCUGAUGAAAUUCAAACCAUGUAUGGAAUGCCUACACCAGGGCUUGACGUUAGCAGUGGCCCGGGACAACAAAAAAAUGAGAGCCGGGCCACCAAAAUUUUUCGAAAGCCCACACUUGGUUGCCCAGUUUGGCUACUAAAGUUUUGAUAAAUUGUUAUGUUUUCUGGCCAUCAACUUUGCUAUGUGGGCCACUAAAAAUAUGAAAUUGAUGAUUUUGGUGGACUGAUCGAGCCACCAAGAAAAAAAGUUAGUGUGGAGUCUUACCUACAUUAAAAAUUGUUGAAUGUAAAAGAUGUCAGUGCAUCAAAUAAUUUGGUGCUGUGUUCGUAUAUUGAUUGACUUGUAAUUUGUAAAUGUCUCUACUGACAUGGACUGUGUAUUCAGUUUACCCAGUUACAAAUGAAUUUUACAUACUUCAAGGAAGAGGUUUUCAGAGUUUUAGAGUCGAUGUGCCACUCAUAUUGAAUGGUGACUUGUUGUUCAGGGAUUUUUUCCUUUCAUCAUUAAGGGAUAAUGUAUUUUACCAUCCUCAUCUUUUUUCAUGUGUUUCCAAGUCUACAACUUGUUGGCGUGAUUUAGCUUUCUACGUUCCAAAUGUUGACCACCUUGUUUACUGGUACCCUUUCUAUCGGUUCCGUAAAAUUUGCAAUGUGACCAAUAUGAGAAAUCACUAAAAACGGCUGACUUUCACAAAAAUAACAGUGACCUUGCGUAAAAUAUGAGAUCUUGACCAUUCAGCAGCUACAGUACACCCCUAAUUAUCAAUCUCAUUUGAACUGUUCUCCCUCCAGAAAGUGUUAUGUUCUGGCAAUUUCAAAAUAAUGACUGUAAACAGCAUUCCAUACUACUUAGUAAAAAACAAAAUAUUAUCACCCUUUGUUUAGAAAAGAAAACGGGGAGUAACUUUGUCCCACCAGCCAUAAAUAAAGAAUAUUGUCUACGUUCUGUUUUUGUAUUGAAAAUUAAAAGCAUAGCUUAUUAGAGUUAUAGAAUUUAAUUUAUUUAUUUACUAGUAUUCACUUUCACUUUUUUCAAUAAAAUUUAUUUCCACUUAAAACAGCAAUGUUUCCAAAUCAAUACAAUAUUGAUAAAUACAGAUACUAUAUAUGUUCAUUUUUAUAGCGCUUGAAUAUUUAUGAUGUUUGUGUGUCAUGUAUAUUUUGUUACGUGCUCUAAUAUUUUAUUUAAUAGGUAUAUGCAAGAGAAAUACUGUCAAAUGAUUGUAUUGGUAUGAAAAUAAACAUUUAUUCUAUAUUGAUUUUGAAAGUUUAAACUAUGCAUUUUCUAGUACAUAUAUAUUUAAUUUAUGAUUUGAUUUGAUAUCCCUACAGCCCACACCCAUUUUCAAACUCAUGCAUAUUUUACUAAAGGGACGAGUGUGGCUCUCAUUAUUAUUCAUCUAAAAAUGUGAAAUUGGAAUUCAGGGAAGUAUUUUGUUACAAAAAGCUAAUUUACACAAUUUGUAGACAUUUUUUCAAAGAAAAUGGGAGGGGUGUAGGCAUUUCAAGCUUAGUGCAAAAAAUAAAAAUUCUGGAGGACAAAAAAAUCUUGUUUCAUUGGAGCUUACAAAUAUGUAAUGGUAUAUUUUAUCUGAAAUUCCAUAUCAGCCCUCAUACUUGCCUGAACUCAAGCAAGGGAAAUAUCAAUCCUCUAAACAUAUUUACAUGGUUCUCAUUAAAAUUUAUAUCAUGAUUUUAUAA